CUACGCCACUUGGUUUGUUUGUAUCGACUCCAUGUGUUUGCAUUUAUUUAUUUUUGCGUGCGUUACGCGAGGACAGAUAAAUAGAAAGACGUUUUAUACGAAUGUUGUGCAACACACUCUUUUAUUCUAUGCCAUUCAACUUUGACUACAAGCUUGCAAAUUGGGGUUUCGUUCAAGCGCUGAAAGAAAACAUUGAGCAAGUAACAACGUGCAUGCGCAAGAACACGAUGCCCAGAAAGGAAGACAAAUCUCCAGCGGUGUUCUGAAAAACAAUGAUUCUCACUUGAUUGCCAAGCCUUUCACUUUAGUCAUUAGUGCUACAGAGCUCAAAGGUUCAACACAUUUCUUUCCCUUCUGGAUAUGCCCUCUAGAAUUCCAAAAAUCUGCAGUGCUCUGAGGCCCAAUGCAGCCAUGGAAACACUUCACAAAACACCUAUCAGACCUGCUCCCGUUCAAACACCUGCUGCAGGAACCACAGCCUACCAUCAGGGAGCUGCUCAGGAGUGGAUGACACGUGUUUUGGAGAGAGGGGUGUGCUGAAGAUGCCGUGAUGCAGGACUGCUGGGGCUUUAGGUGAAGGGUUGUUGUGGAGUGUCUUGGGACAGCUUAUUAAACCUGCCUGCCAGAACCAGCUUGUUUCUGUUCUCCAGGAUGGGCUUUGCAGGAACAAUCUGGCACUGGAGAAAAUUCUUCAAUAAGACUUUCCUUCUGGUAUGUUUCUAUAGCAACUGUUUAGAAAAAUAGGGCAGGGAAAAAAGCUUACAGAUAAACCUAAAACAGAAUUAGGCACAAAUAACAAUGAAUGUAUAAAUAAACAUUAGGAUGACUG